rnacentral:rRNA from 1 species
UGGGGAAUAUUGGACAAUGGGCGCAAGCCUGACCCAGCCAUGCCGCGUUUGUGAAGAAGGCCUUUUGGUUCUAAAGCUCUUUAAGCGAGGAGGAGGCUACUUGGAUUUAUAUUCUUGGAUAGUUGCCGUUACUCUCAGCAUAAGCUCCGGCUAACUCUGCGCCAGCAGCUGCGGUAAUCCUGAGGCUGCUAGCGUUAAUCUGAUUUAUUGGGCGUAAAGCGUGCGUAGGCGGCUUUUUAAGUCAGGUGUGAAAUCCCUGGGCUUAACUGUGGAAUUGCAUUCGAUACUGUGAUGCUAGAGUAUGGGAGAGGGUGAUAGAAUUCCAGGUGUAGCGGUGAAAUGCUUAGAGAUCUGAAAGAAUACCGAUGGCGAAGGCAGCCGACUGGCGUAAUACUGACGCUGAGGUAAGAAAGCAUUGGGAUCAAACAGG